rnacentral:rRNA from 1 species
GGGUGAGUAAUAUAUCGGAACGUGCCCAGUCGUGGGGGAUAACGUAGCGAAAGCUACGCUAAUACCGCAUACGAUCUAUGGAUGAAAGCGGGGGAUCGCAAGACCUCGCGCGAUUGGAGCGGCCGAUAUCAGAUUAGGUAGUUGGUGAGGUAAAGGCUCACCAAGCCGACGAUCUGUAGCUGGUCUGAGAGGACGACCAGCCACACUGGGACUGAGACACGGCCCAGACUCCUACGGGAGGCAGCAGUGGGGAAUUUUGGACAAUGGGCGCAAGCCUGAUCCAGCAAUGCCGCGUGCAGGAUGAAGGCCUUCGGGUUGUAAACUGCUUUUGUACGGAACGAAACGGUGAGCUCUAAUACAGUUUGCUAAUGACGGUACCGUAAGAAUAAGCACCGGCUAACUACGUGCCAGCAGCCGCGGUAAUACGUAGGGUGCGAGCGUUAAUCGGAAUUACUGGGCGUAAAGCGUGCGCAGGCGGUGAUGUAAGACAGAUGUGAAAUGCCCGGGCUCAACCUGGGACCUGCAUUUGUGACUGCAUCGCUAGAGUACGGUAGA